rnacentral:rRNA from 1 species
GUAAAGUUUUGUUUAAACCGAAAAAAUAUUGACUGACUUUAGAUUUUUCUUUGGAAUAUGUGAUUUUGUUGGAGAGCCCUCUUUUUUGGUAAAUUUUGUUGGCACAUGUAUGAUUGUUUAGUUUUUAUUUUAUUUUGUAAUGCUUUUUUUGUUUUGGCAUUUAAAACAGAUAUAUAUUUGGUUUAUAAAUUUAUUUUUCAUGUGUUACUAUUAUAAAUUUUUUUUGGAUUAAUUUUUUAUUUUUUUUUGAAAUUGGAAAAGAAAGUAAUUUUUUCUUUAUGUUUUAAUGAAUUUAAUAAAUAAGGUGGUACAAACCAU